rnacentral:lncRNA from 1 species
UCAAUUCGAUGGAAAAAGUAAUCUUUUUUUUUUAGAAAAGGUUUAAGGUUUGGGAGGGUUGCGGUGGGUCGCGCAGCUCAGGUUAUGGGAGUGGGCGCGGCAUGCGUAGGAACGGGUAGGAUGGGUGGGUGGUGCGAUAGGAGGAGGAGAUCUGAGGGGAUGAAGAAGGCAAGGGUCAGAGAGUGUUUUCGAGAAUGAAAAAAGCCUUGGGAGUGGGACCGGUUUCUUUCUUCCGUUUCCCCUCCGUCACUGGCUUUAGCUAUUAGAUCUGGCAUAGAUCUUGAAGCACAACCAAUGGUUACAAAUUUAUGAGUACAGCAGCUACUAUACUCAUAACUCAUAAGAGUAAGUAGCUGCACACACACACACACACUCUCUCUCUCUCUCUCUCUCUCUCUCUCUCUCUCUCUCUCUCUCUAUAUAUAUAUAUAUUAUUUAUAAAAUGCGUGAGUUUUGAAUUUUUUUCUCUUUUCAAAAACGUAUAUCUUUUUUUUACUAAUGUUUUUAUGUCCAGUAAUUUUAUCCAUUCAUUUCAAAUAAAUUUUCAAAUAAUAAUUUAUUCUCAAAUAUAAAUGUUAAGUUUUUACCAUUGGAUUCUCAAACAUAAUACAUGUC